GACGAACGCUGGCGGCGUGCUUAACACAUGCAAGUCGAACGGAAAGGCCCUGCUUUUGUGGGGUGCUCGAGUGGCGAACGGGUGAGUAACACGUGAGUAACCUGCCCUUGACUUUGGGAUAACUUCAGGAAACUGGGGCUAAUACCGGAUAGGAGCUCCUGCUGCAUGGUGGGGGUUGGAAAGUUUCGGCGGUUGGGGAUGGACUCGGGGCUUGUCAGCUUGUUGGUGGGGUAGUGGCUUACCAAGGCUUUGACGGGUCGCCGGCCUGAGAGGGUGACCGGCCACAUUGGGACUGAGAUACGGCCCAGACUCCUACGGGAGGCAGCAGUGGGGAAUAUUGCACAAUGGGCGGAAGCCUGAUGCAGCAACGCCGCGUGCGGGAUGACGGCCUUCGGGUUGUAAACCGCUUUCGCCUGUGACGAAGCGUGAGUGACGGUAAUGGGUAAAGAAGCACCGGCUAACUACGUG
rnacentral:rRNA from 1 species